rnacentral:rRNA from 1 species
GUCCACGCCGUAAACGAUGGGUGCUAGGUGUCACGGGCAUUGACUCCCGUGGUGCCGUAGCCAACGCAUUAAGCACCCCGCCUGGGAAGUACGGCCGCAAAGGCUAAAAACUCAAAGGAAUUGACGGGGGGCCCCGCACAAGCGGUGGAGCAUGUGGUUUAAUUCGACGCAACGCGAAGAACCUUACCUGGGCUAGAAAAUGCAGGAACCUGGGAGAAGUCUCGGGGUGCUCUUCGGAGAGCCUGUAGUUAGGUGCUGCAUGGCUGUCGU